GGUUCGAUGGUGUAGUUGGUUAUCACGUCUGUCUCACAGUGUGUACACAGGAGGUCUCCGGUUCGAGCCCGGAUCGAACCA